rnacentral:misc_RNA from 1 species
AAGUCGUAACAAGGUUUCCGUAGGUGAACCUGCGGAAGGAUCAUUAUCACAAAUGAUUUUUAACUCUCUUAAUCCAGAGUUAAACCUCUUCUCUAAACCAAUUUAAUUCAAAUGUGAAAUUGUUUUAACAAUGUGUAUUUAUUGUGACGAGUAGUUUGGUCUUCCUUUCUACUUGGAUCAAUAAAUUCAUAUUCUUUUUUUUUUAACCAAUUGAACCCUUUUCUAAUUUAUGUUAUUUUAUUUCUAUUUAGUACUGAAAUAUUUAUUAUAAAUUCAAUAUGCAAAUAUUGAGAUUAUAAUAAAAUUACAUUACGAAACAAUAUAAAUAAAACAACUCUUAGCAACGGAUAUCUUGGUUCUCGUAACGAUGAAAAACGCAGC